AAAAAAAUUCUCAAUUCUAUAAAAAAAAGGAUGAAAGUGGUUGAUGAAUGUAUCAAAAACCGUGCCGGCCAAAAUAUUACAAUAGCAAAUCAAUGCUCAAUAGAGAAAAGUUGUCAACCAAUUAGACAUCUCAUAAUCCUAUGCAACCACAUCUCUUGCUGUUGCAGGCACAUGCAAGCAUACGCCCCAAUAACAAAUAUAAGCUGUGCCAGAUGAAGCUUCAAGCCAUCAUACAAAAUUACCUCAAAUUGGGCUUAUUUCUUCUGUUAUACUAAUACCAGUUACUCCAAACUUGAGAAUUCUGCUGUUUCCUAUCCAGCUACCCAAUAUCUACGAUAUAUUUGUAUACAUAAACACUCUCAAUAGGUCUCUGAUUUGUCCAGUUGUUA
rnacentral:misc_RNA from 1 species